AGCCGUCUAGGGUAAAACUGGUAACUGGGGCUAAGUCGUAACAAGGUAGCCGUACCGGAAGGUGCGGCUGGAUCACCUCCUUUCUAGGGAA
rnacentral:rRNA from 2 species